UCAGUUUUGUUUCUGCGAUAGAUCGGAACAGAUGUGUUUUCUUGUUAUAAAUUUUUGACUGUGUGGUAAAAUUUUGUGGACUUUGUUAGCCAUUAAACAUUUUCAGUGACUCAGUCUGUUUGUAUUUUCUGCAAUUAUGGCAGAAAAAGAAGUGAAACAGAAGUUAGCGGAUGAUGAUAAUGCAUCAAUCCGUUCUAUAAAAUCGUCUUCCACUGGGAAAGGACGAAAGAAAUCUUCAAAUAAACAGCCUGAAGGUAGUGUGAAAGCUUCAUCAUCAAAUACACAGCAUGAGGGUACAGUAAAAACCUCGAAAGCUUCAUCAUCAAAUACACAUGAGGGUACAGUAAAAUCCUCGACCUCGGAUGCCUCACUGUUGGUGGAGGCUUUAGAAAACAAAAUUUCAGCAAGAUUUGAAAAAAGUGAAUCACAGUAUGCCGAGCUGGACGGUAAGAUUUCAACUUUAUUGUCUACAUUUGAGAAAAUACAGUCUCAAAUCCCUACAGAUCAAAAUAACAAUUCUACUUCGGGUAGAAUUUCUUUGCACAAUGAUUUAAAUGAACAGUAUCAAAUCAGAGAUUUUGACGAGUUGAGUUUGCAACCUGGCAAUAAUGAAAUGAGACAAAUGUUACAUGAUGGGUCAUUUAGCAGGUCUGUCUCGCCACAUCGUUCUAUUUUGUCAGAAAAUAGCUCUAAGGUUAGCCAUUCCCAAUCAGGGUUGUCCGACUCGCCUGAAGAAGGUGAAAUUGAGAGAUUUAGCAGAUAUCAAAAUAUUACAGGCAAACAUAAAUCUCCAGAAGUUUUAGAACAGCCAGAUACUUUAGGGAAAAAAUUUGGACAUGAUGCCUUAGUUUCUAAACCAAAAUCGCAGGCUGGUCUUGUUUUAGAAAAGAAUCAAACUGACAUUUUGAAACGAUCUUGGCGUUCAGCAGAUCCAUCUAAAAUGUCUUGUUAUCGGGACAGUUACAAACAGUCAUUUCCUAUUCAUGAAUCGUGUGAAGACUGGUUCAAGGUAUCUACUCUUGAAAAUACAAUAGAAGUGCUAUUGACAAAGAGAUAUGGACAUAGGGCAGCUUUUGGGAAUGCUCCGUCUUUAUUUGGUAGAAAUAUGAAAUCCUUAGAAAAACUAGCUUUCCAAGGUCAGCUUGCUUCAAGAAUGGCGCUUAUUACUACUUGUUACGCUCAACAAGCCUUAGGUAGUCUUUUGGAUACACUUUCUCAAAAAAAUCCUAAUGUGGACAGUGCUGUUCAAAAUGUACGUGAUUUAUUUGCUAUCACAUCUAAAACGCUUGACCAAAUUGGGAGAUCAGGGGCUCUCCACCACCUUAUAAGAAGAAAGUCUGCCCUAUAUGACACAGGACUUAGUGAAUACAAAGACUACGCAUCUACUGUUAUGUCUCUACCUCUUGCAAGUGAUGGUAUAUUUGGUUCAGAGUUUGAUCAAAAACUGAAGAGCAAACAAGAAGUUUCUAAACAAUUAUCUGAUGUUUUACCAAAUAUUAGCUCUCGUUACAGCGGCUACUCAAGCCAAUACAAGAGGAAAGGCAACACUUUACCUCCAAGAGAGUAUGUUAAAAGACCACGUCUGGAAUCUGAAUAUAAACCUAGAAGCUCAAAUUUUUCCAGAAUACCAAAGAAUUCGUUUCUCAUCAGGACGACGUUCAGCUACACUUACUGGAAAGCCUAUGGUAUCACAACGUUCAGAAGGUGCUCCAACCUACAAGCGCUCCGGCUUGGGGAAGGAUAUGUAAACAUACAGAGCAGAGGCAUAACAUUUUUAAGACAGGGACUUUCCAAGCAGGAUCGCCCAUCUCACCAAGGUUCUAAGAUUUUUGUUCCUUGUUUUAAUGACAACAAGAAGUUGGAUCCAAAAAGGACACUUUAUUUUUAUCUGAAAAGAACAGACAUUUUUCGAAAACUUCCAGAUGGUACAGAUGAAGUGAAGUUAUUUCUGUCAUAUGUUAAACCACAUAAGCCAGUUACGAAACAAACUAUUUCAAAUUGGAUUGUUCAGACAAUCAAAAUGGCAUAUGAAGAAAAAAUCCAAGUCAAGGCUCACUCAACUAGAGCUAUUGGCCCUUCAUGGGCACUGUUUAAUGGAGCGUCUGUAAAGAGCAUCCUUGACUCCGCUGAUUGGUCAAGGGAAUCAACUUUCACUAAGUUUUAUCUAAGGAAUGUGGAUAUGAAUGUUUUUUCGUCAGGCUGUAAAUAGGAAGAAUUUUGAAAAGUUUUAGUUUCUGCGAGUUGGAACAGACAGUAAAAUAAAAUUACAGUGAAUGUUUUUAACUUUAUCACAGGAUGAUAUCAAAGUUUAUAUGUGUAUGUAAAUGAUAACAGUUACAAAGAGUAACUCUGAUGUGCCCAACCAUUCAUAGAUUGGAUGUGUAUUAUAUAUAUAUGUGUGUGUAUUAAUUUUUUUUGUGUGUGUACAUAUUCCUUUUUUGUACUGUGAAGUUUGAAGAAACUGAAAUACAGAAAGAAAAUUCCCAGCCAUCCUUGAGAGGAGUUACUGUCAUUAAUCCCAACUAGCCCUGGAUCUGGAUUGACUUGGGUGGAUCUAUGAAUAUAUGGUGCUGGUUGGUGGAUCUGCAAUAUUAAUGUCUUGAAAAGGACUACAGAAAAAUUAGCGAAAGAUGCUUUCCAGAAGAAGAAAGAUCCGAUGGAUGCAGCUCUUUUUUUUUCUGGCAAUGAAAAAGAAAAAUGUUCUGUGGGGAUUAUUCAGAUUAAUUGACAGCAAGAAGAUGGCAGACUUCUUCAGGAAUGACUUUAGUCAGGACCGAUGGCAGAAGGCAGCAUUGAAGAAUGCGUUUGACCUGCUUGGGAAGCAAAGGUUUGAACACGCAGCUGGAUUUUUUCUGCUGGGAGGGAUCUCAAGUGAUGCCUUAGAGCAACAAGGAGAGGCCACAUGCAAACACAAGGAGUUUCUAGAAUCUGAAGAAGUUCCUGAAUCAAUUCCAGUUGACAUGAAACAUCAGAGCAUUGCUCAGAUAAUAUAUGCUGGAUGCAGAGGCUGACAUCUCAGUCACUUUUGGUCGUAGCUCCCGGACAUUUCCAGAGGUUUCCCCUCCAUCAGCAGUGAAUUGUAUAAAAACAGUGGGGAAGUCCAGACCAGACCAGAAUGGACAGGGGGUCAACAACAAGUGGUAAAGAAGAUGAUGAUAUAGAAAUAGAUGAUUUGUCUGGUGAUAAUGAUACAAUCAAAGGAGCUGAUAGAGAAGGAACUGUAAGGACACUGAGGAAAUAUUCUACAAUCUUCACCAUGGUUACCAUUGAAUAGGGAAUCUCACAUAGCAAUUGCUGUACAGUGUAAUGCCAGCAUGUAUGUUUUUUUAAGCAAACAACAGUGUGUCAAGGCAGAAGCUGUGCAACUGGACAGGAUGAGAGUGGUUGUUUUCCAAUGGCUGUAAGCGUGAAAUCAACUGGCCUUGUGCGGAAGACAUCUAUGAAUCGAUCAACCAGAUGUAUACCUCUAAUUUAGAGAUGAGAGUGGUUGUUUUCCAAUGGCUGUAAGCGUGAAAUCAACUGGCCUUGUGCGGAAGACAUCUAUGAAUCGAUCAACCAGAUGUAUACCUCUAAUUUAGAAGGAUUGAGAUGGCAAAGGAAGCGUACGUUUGGCCGUUCCAUCUGAUCAUUCCAUUGUUUGUGAAGAACGCUAUUUAUGCACCCUAUGUACGAGAUUUCUUCAAAGAUUCGGUUGGCAUCAGCCCCUCUGACACAUCUGUACAUAAAGAUAAUGAGGGAGUAAUGGAGGUGUGGCAGUACCUGCAGCCAUUCCAGUUUGUUGAAGACAACAUGGCCAUGGCUCUACCUCCUGAUCAACUCUCUGAAGAGGAAUUACUGUAUUUCCUGGAAUUCAAAGGGAUCUUCGUAAAAUUCUACCUCACAAUUCGUAACACAAUCAUGGUGCUAUGGAACCUUAAUGUUAAGAACUGGGUAACGAGAGAGUGAUAUAUGAACUAUGUCAUCAUGAGAGGUCUGUCUCGAGUAUGGAUUACAAUACAUGUGGACCGUAUACUAGCAUACUUAACAUUGAAAGGUUUCCAAGGAAAUAAAAUUUGUUGAACUAUUAGAAGAAAACAUUCAAAAGGUGACAGUGAUCAAGGCUGGGGAUCAUAUUGGAGGUCGGGCUGUUGAUGAAGGAAGCUCAAAAUUUGACACACAGUCUUACAUGGUGGUUGGAUGUUGUAACAAUCCUGUUGUAGUAUUAUGUAAACAGAUCCACAUAACCUUGGUUUGAGAUGUAUAGUGAAUGGGGUCAGAAAACAGGACAGUAACACAAAUCAGCUGGUACACAAAACUGAACAGAUGAUAGCAUUUAUUACAAGGUAAUAGUUAUAUAUAAAGCUGAAAAAGGAUUGUGAUUUCUUGCUUGUAAGUGUGGGUUUUCAUCCUUGAUUUCAUUUAGCAUCUUAGGUGCGAGCAUUUAAAACAUGAUACUGUUUAGCUCUGAACGUUUUAAAUAUGUUUCCAAAAACCUAAGUGUGAUAUGUUAAAAGUGUAGAUUGACUUCUAGCAAAUCCAUACAAAUUAUCCAACAAAUUCGAGCAGAGGUUAAUAAUGGUUUAUUAAACAUAUAUUCUUUAUAUGAAAAAGUAUAGCUAUUGCACUCGCCCCGGCGUCUGCGUCACUGUUGGUUAAAGUUUUUGAUCAAGUCAAAUAUCUCUGUUACUAUCAAAGCUAUUGACUUGAAACUUAAAAUAGUUAUUUACUAUCAAAGUCUGCAUCAGGAGAAACAAUCCCCAUAACUCUGAUUGAAUUUUGACAGAGUCAUGCCUCUUUUUAACUUAGAAAUAUUGGUUAAAGUUUUUGAUAAGGUCAAAUAUCUCUAUUAAUAUCAAAGCUAUUGACUUGAAACUUAAAAUACUUAUUUACCAUCAAAGGUUACACCAGAAGAAACAGUUCCCAUAACUCUGGUUUGAAUUUCGACAGAAUUAUGCCCCUUUUUAACUUAGGAAUUUUUAAGCCCCCAAAGGGAGGCAUAUUAGUUUUCAGCUGUCUAUUCGUUCAUUCGUUAGUGCGUCACAAUGUUAACUUUUUGCAUGAAGGCACUUAAUUCGCGAACCACUGCACCCAGGACCUUCAAACUUCACAUGCUGAUAGUACUUAUUGAGUACAUGACCCCUACUGACUUUGGGGUCAAAGGUCAAGGUCACAGGGACCAACAUUAACUUUUUAGCUCACCAGUCACAAAGUGACGAGGCGAGCUUUUGUGAUCGCGCAGCGUCCGUUGUCCGUCCGUAAACUUUUGCUUGACCACUCUAGAGGUCACAUUUUUCAUGGGAUCUUUAUGAAAGUUGGUCAGAAUGUUCAUCUUGAUAAUAUCUAGGUCAA